rnacentral:rRNA from 1 species
AUUGAACGCUGGCGGCAUGCCUAACACAUGCAAGUCGAACGGCAGCAUGGUCCAGCUUGCUGGACUGAUGGCGAGUGGCGAACGGGUGAGUAAUACGUAGGAAUAUGCCUUAAAGAGGGG